rnacentral:rRNA from 1 species
GUGGGGAAUAUUCCGCAAUGGACGAAAGUCUGACGGAGCAACGCCGCGUGAGUGAUGAAGGUUUUCGGACUGUAAAGCUCUGUUGUUUAGGACGAAAGUGCCUGUUGCAAAUAGUUACAGGUAUUGACGGUACUGAACGAGGAAGCCACGGCUAACUACGUGCCAGCAGCCGCGGUAAUACGUAGGUGGCAAGCGUUGUCCGGAAUUAUUGGGCGUAAAGAGCAUGUAGGCGGGAAUCUAAGUCUGUUGUGAAAAUGCGGGGCUCAACCCCGUAUUGCGAUGGAAACUGGGUUUCUUGAGUGCAGGAGAGGAAAGGGAAAUUCCCAGUGUAGCGGUGAAAUGCGUAGAUAUUGGGAGGAACACCAGUGGCGAAGGCGCCUUUCUGGACUGUGUCUGACGCUGAGAUGCGAAAGCCAGGGUAGCGAACGGGAUUAGAAACCCGAGUAGUCC